GUCUAUGACCAUAUAACCCUGGAGGCACCUGAUCUUGUCUAAUUAAUCUCCAAAGCUAAGCAUGGUUUUGGCCUGGUUAGUACUCUGGGAGAUAAUUUGGAGAAGGGUACAGUGUAUGUG
ensembl:rRNA 5S_rRNA 5S ribosomal RNA